rnacentral:rRNA from 1 species
UAUUUAUUAGAUAAAAAACCAAUGCCCUUCGGGGCUCCUUGGUGAAUCAUAAUAACUUAACGAAUCGCAUGGCCUUGCGCCGGCGAUGGUUCAUUCAAAUUUCUGCCCUAUCAACUUUCGAUGGUAGGAUAGUGGCCUACCAUGGUAUCAACGGGUAACGGGGAAUUAGGGUUCGACUCCGGAGAGGGAGCCUGAGAAACGGCUACCACAUCCAUGGAAGGCAGCAGGCGCGCAAAUUACCCAAUCCCGACACGGGGAGGUAGUGACAAUAAAUACUGAUACAGGGCUCUUUUGGGUCUUGUAAUUGGAAUGAGUACAAUUUAAAUCCCUUAACGAGGAACAAUUGGAGGGCAAGUCUGGUGCCAGCAGCCGCGGUAAUUCCAGCUCCAAUAGCGUAUAUUAAAGUUGUUGCAGUUAAAAAGCUCGUAGUUGAACCUUGGGCCUGGCUGGCCGGUCCGCCUCACCGCGUGUACUGGUCCGGCCGGGCCUUUCCUUCUGGGGAACCUCAUGCCCUUCACUGGGCGUGUUGGGGAACCAGGACUUUUACUUUGAAAAAAUUAGAGUGUUCAAAGCAGG